UCCCUACGGGGGGCAGUAGUCGGGAAUAUUGCGCAAUGGAGGAAACUCUGACGCAGUGACGCCGCGUAUAGGAAGAAGGUCUUCGGAUUGUAAACUAUUGUCGUUAGGGAAGAAAAAGGACAGUACCUAAGGAGGAAGCUCCGGCUAACUACGUGCCAGCAGCCGCGGUAAUACGUAGGGAGCAAGCGUUAUCCGGAUUUAUUGGGUGUAAAGGGUGCGUAGACGGCUGCCUAAGCGGAACCUCUAAUCCCGGGGCUCAACCUCGGGCCGGGUUCCGAACUGGGCGGCUCGAGUGCGGUAGAGGG
rnacentral:rRNA from 1 species